UACGUAGGUGGCAAGCGUUGUCCGGAUUUAUUGGGUUUAAAGGGUGCGUAGGCGGUUUUUUAAGUCAGUGGUGAAAUACGGCAGCUCAACUGUCGAGGUGCCAUUGAUACUGGGAAACUUGAGUACUGAUGAGGUAGGCGGAAUGGACGGUGUAGCGGUGAAAUGCUUAGAUAUCGUCCAGAACACCGAUAGCGAAGGCAGCUUACUAAGGAGUAACUGACGCUGAGGCACGAAAGCGUGGGGAGCAAACAGG
rnacentral:rRNA from 1 species